rnacentral:sRNA from 1 species
UACCUGUCGGAACAUGGAGGAGGAGCUGGCAACAACUGGGCCAGCGGAUUCUCCCAGGUGUCCAGGCGACCAUUCCAGAGACCUUUGAUAUUCCCAUCCAGAGGGUGAGAAAAUUCAUGAAGACAUCUUUGACAUCAUAGACCGAGAAGCAGAUGGAAGUGACAGUUUGGAGGUGAAGUUAUGGAGUGGGGGAAGGAAUGGGCAGGGAGGCCGAAGAGUGCUGGGGAAAGGUCAGGAGGUGGCCUGGAUAGGUAAUAUGAGGGGAGCAAUUCAAUUCAAAACCCGUUUAUGGAGCAUCAGAUGUGGGAUAUUGAGGUGAAUAAGAUAUAAUCUUUGUUCUCAAGGAAGUCAUAAAUCUGAAUGGCACCGGCCCCUUAGGCAUGAGUCAUUCAGCUGCUUCUCCAGCUCCAAACCUUCCCAAGGAGCCUCAGCCUGGAUGCAUAAGAGGAAGCUUUGAGACAUUGGCGUUUUGGGAAUGGAGAAUGAACCAAGCCGAAGUCUCUCCCCCAGAUCCUUGGAGACUGCCUCUCCAUCUCUCCCCAUGCUGGGUGCGAUAUGUUCCUGGCUUACAGCUCUUAUAACCCAUGUAAUUUCCUAAGGGACUAGAGCAAUAAUAGUAUGUUUUGUUAAAAUAUUUGACCUUUUGUCCUUGGUUUCUGAAACAGCUCCAGAACAGCUCCAGAGUGAUAAAGGUGAAAGACAGUCUUUUGUUAUUUAUAACAAGCCCGUUUCUUUUAGUUUAAUCUUUCAUUUUAUUUUAAUUAGUUAAUUUUACUAACCACUGUACUAAGGAACAAGUGCCUUUCAACCAAACCUGAGCUUAUGUUAAAGAGGCGAUUUUUGGAAAGUCCCA